GCAAACCUUUCAUUGGAGAACAGUCUUCCCCCACACCAUCCCAUAGAAAUACUGUUCACUAUAUCUGGUUCAGGAGGACUGACUCUCCCAACUCCUUUCUCCAGGAGUGGAUACAUGAUCCAGGACUGGCCAGAAUUCUACAUCAAGCAGCCCGUAGGCACGGAGGAGAAUACAAAUUAGAGGAUCAGCCAGCAAACUUGAUGGGUGAUGAGAACUGUUCAAGACAACCCUGAAGAUGUUGCUUAUUUGAUAAGGUUGCUGGUGCUGCUGCUACUGAAGAUAGAACAACAGUUAAGCUUUCUGUGUAUGUGUGUGUUUUCCAUCUGUUUUUCUUUGUAAUCAGUCGGUAUAAAAGUGAGCAGUGAAGAAUCGGGGGGAAAUAAAUGUACUUUUUAAACAUGUUAAAUUUGGAAAAUAUCUAGAGCUCAGAAGAAAAGUGUAAACUUAAGUUAGAGAUUUGAGAGUUAGUGAAGCUCUAAGAGGGGCAGAGUGUAAAGGUGAGGGCAACAAGUAUAUGUGCACACACAAUCACACACAUACACCGGUGGCAGGCAAAGAAAGAUUAAAUCCCUUCUUAGCAAAACUUCAAUUCUGAGAAGAUUUUUCCUAUCUGAAUUUGUUGAACAAUAUUAGAGAUUUUUUUUUUCUAACCACUUCAUAAAUAAUAAAACUGAGCAACAGAGAGGAUGGGUGGCUGACUUGUUAAGGAACUCCUAAUUAGUGCUAAAGAGUCUUAAAACCUAGGUUUCUGGGCUCCCAAUUCCAGGUUCCUUGGAAGUCAAGAGAAGACAAAAACAUACGAUCAUUUACUUUAUCCCUAACUUCACUUGAAUAAAACAUUCCAUAAGAUUAAG
rnacentral:lncRNA from 1 species